ACAAAGAGACAAUCUAUGGAGUGGAAACACCUCUCCUCACCUGCUCCAAAGAAGGCCAAAAUAGUUUCAGGAUAGGUGAUGACCACAGUGCUUUGGGAAGCAAUAGGUAUUGUGUUUAUUGACUAUCUUCAAAAGGACCACACAAUCAAUGGAGAAUAAGCCAAUUUGCUUAGGCAGUUAUGGAAAGCUAUCAAAACCAAAUGGUCAGGAAAAAUGACGAAAGGGGUCUUGUUUCAUCAGGACAAUGCUCCAGCAUACAAGUCCUUGCUUUCAAUGGCUGUUGUGCAUGACUGUGGCUUUGAACUGGUUGAUCACCCACCAUAUUCUCCUGAUUUGGCCCUAAAGAAUAUCAUUUGUUCCUCAACAUGAAAAGACAUUUGGCUAGGAACCAGUUGUCACAGUGAUGAUGAUGUCAUAUCAGCUGUUCAGGACUUUUGUGAGCAACAGGAUGAAAGCUUCUACACCAAUGGGAUUCAAGUGUUGUAACACGGAUAGAAGAAACAAACCUCAGUCACAUUCCAUAUUUUAUGUUACCACAAAAACCCCAUUACUGGCUUAGAAUUAAAGAAAGCAAUCAACACCAGCACUAGUGAGGUCACUAUGAAGCUUGCCUGACAAAGAUCCUCUGAAGCUAAUGGAUAAAGAAAGGGCCAGAACAGAAGAGGUUCUCGUUGCUAUGUAGCUACAUGACUACUCAAAUCAUAGAAGACAAGGUAAGAGAGACUGGGGUAGAGAUGGAAAGAGUGAGAAUAGUGGUAAUGAGGUGACUAUUUUGUUACAUGUAUUCCUGGGUCUCACUUUUCCAUAAGUUCCAUUCACAUUAAGUGAUGAGAACUUCUUGAUACAGCUAUUCUCAUCCAUAUUCAUCUCAUAUCUAUACCAUCAUAGUCUUCUUUCCUGCACACUACAUUUGAUUCCGCUUAUGCCCAAUUUUUUGAUCAGUACCUUUGUACUUUGUCGUGGAUGCACACCCAAUAGACCUGCAGCUUUACCUCUCUUCAUAUCUUUAAUUGCUUUAUCUACCACACUGCUGUCAACUUGAAUCAUUGGUCUCUCUGCAAGAUCAACAUGAAAUAGCCCCUCUAUUACCCACAUAUUUUCCACAUUCAGCAACCUCUUACAAUAGCAUUUUCAUGCCACUCUUUUGUCUUCCACAUCAAUGGUGAGGAUAUCUUCAUCAUUCCAAAUACACUCCUUUGUCCUCUCUCACAUACUGUCCUGCAAUCCUGAAUAAUUCAUGCCUCUGAUCCUCACAUUACAGGACAUGCACAAAUCUCAUUUGUUCUGCUUCAUCUUUAACUAUGCAUACUUGUCACAUAGCUGCUGUUUCUAGCCAUUUGAAAAUGCUCCCUACUACUACCUUCCUUCCAGGUUAUCCAAGCCUAUCGCUUAGCCUUUACUGCCUUGUCAACUGCUUCAUUCUAAUACUUUACUGAUAUAUAGUAGUUAAAAUGGCAAUAUCAAAGAAGCUAAAGGAAAUCUUGUUUAUAAGAAAGUGAAGAGAAGAAAAAAGUAGGAGAAAUAGUAUUCUUGAUAAUUUAAUAUAGAUAGGUUUAUGAAAAUCUAGGACAAUUUCAAUUGGUUGUUGACAAACACCCUAAGUGAUUUAAGUAUAUUUAUCAGAUAAUACUUUGCAAUUGAAGGACUUAAACAGUAUCUACGUUUAUCUUGGAUACUCAAUUAUGUUAUGGCAUUGUUGAAAUAUGAACAAAAUAGAGUUUACAGGCUAAGUAGUCAUUUAAAAUGUUAAAAUAACUAAUGAGAAACAACAUCUGUGUUCAUUGACUGAGAAGCCUAUGAAUACA
rnacentral:lncRNA from 1 species